AGGUGGGAUGGCCGAGUGGUUAAGGCGGUAGGAUGAGGUCUUAUUGUAUUCGUACUCGCGGGUUCGAAUCCCGCUCCAUCUG
rnacentral:tRNA from 1 species